rnacentral:rRNA from 1 species
UACGUAGGGUCCGAGCGUUGUCCGGAGUUACUGGGCGUAAAGCGCGCGCAGGCGGCUCGUCAAGUCUGGCGUGAAAGCCCCCCGGCUCAACCGGGGAGGGUCGUCGGAGACUGGCGAGCUUGAGGGCGGUAGGGGCUGGUGGAAUUCCCGGUGUAGUGGUGAAAUGCGUAGAGAUCGGGAGGAACACCCGUGGCGAAGGCGGCCAGCUGGGCCGUCCCUGACGCUGAGGCGCGAAGGCGUGGGGAGCGAACGGG